rnacentral:lncRNA from 1 species
GAAUCAAAAUCCAAAAUGGUGGAUCAGGUUCCCACGUUCGGGGAAGACCCUUCGGCUUCCCAAAUUGGUCAGCUUUCUCCAUUUUCGAGGAAACCUCCUCAGUUCCCGUGCGGGUGGGUGGCCCGACCGAGCCCGCACAGCCAACCAGAUGCCAACCCGGUUCCCCGACACUAAACAACCAACCAAAACAAAAAAACAGAACGAUUUUACCUUUCGGCGUGGGCGAUUUGGCCUCAGCUUGGCUCCCGGUCACCUCCUUUCGGUCACCCCACAACUCUUUUGCGUGCCUGCGACUGGAAUGGUAAUUUUUAAGCCUAAAAAAUCAGUUAGUGAAAAAUAGAAAUAGAUUGAAAGGAAAAUAGGGGAAGAAAAGACAAAAAUGACAAACUUUUUACCUCACUUGCCUCGGUCUCCGCCGUCACACGGCGUAUCAACCGUUCUCUCUUCCUUCUUCUUCCUUUCGGUUUGGCUUCCUCACUCUCCCACCUCCGCCUCUUUCUUCUUUUCUUCCUCCCUCGCAGCGGCCGUUCUUUAGCUCCCCUUCUCUUUCCCACUCGACCCCUUCUCUCUUUCCUUCUCCCUCCUCUUUUUUCACUCAUUUUCCUUUCUCUUUCUAGCUUCCCUCUUCCUUCCCUCUCCUUCUUUCUUCCUUUCGACUUCCCUGCGUGACCCUCUCUUCUUCCUUCCCUUCCUGAUUGCUCCUCUCUUUUUCCCCUCUCUCUUUUUCGGCUACUCUUCAAAAUGAAGAGAAAACCCUAAUCUCUUCCUUUUUAUACUCGUUCCUUCAAAUUGGAUCUUCAUGACUCGAUUUGAGCCAUCUAUUUUUUUUUAAAUCUCCUUCAUCUGAUCUCCUCAAAUAGUCCAAUCUGGGCUGUCCAUUCUCUUAAUUUUCUUUGCCCCCUUCCACUUCUCCUUAUUUAUAUUUUUGCCUCUCUUUUUCUUACCCACUUUUAUAUAGGUCCCUUAAAUUAAUUAAAAGCCCCAAAUUUUAAAAAUUCUUUUCAUUUGCAUCGAAACUCUAAUUUUAUUUAUUUAUUUUAUAUUUUUUUUAUGAGAUGGAUUUUACACCAUGAGAUCCUGGUUUUGAUGAUUCCAUUUUCUUUUAAUAUUUACCUUCUUUGAUUAACUUUAAUUAAGGCAUAACAAUUAUCAAAGUUUUUAUAUCAACACAACAUGUUUUGUCUAUCCAUAAUUUCACGUGCAUAGAGUAAGAUAACCCACAUAAGCAAUACACUAAUGCUAACUUCAUAUCCUCGUUACAGCAUUAAGAACAUAGAUAUAAAUAUCAUUCGAAGAACAGGUAUUAGUUAAAAAAAUCUAAACAAACUAUCAUUAAACUAAAUAUUAAUAAUCGAAAAUAUGCAAGAAAGAAGCUAAUCUCUCUUAAAUAUCUUUUAAGCUCUACUUCGCUCAUCAAAAGAUAACGGAUCUUAACUUCAUUGAAUUUUGGUAUUAACCAUGUAUGAAUAUCAUAUCUC